rnacentral:rRNA from 2 species
AUAUCAAUAAGCGGAGGAAAAGAAACUAACAAGGAUUCCCCUAGUAACGGCGAGUGAAGCGGGAUGAGCUCAAGCUUAAAAUCUCCGUGCAAGUUUUGCGCGGCGAAUUGUAGUCUAUAGAGGCGUGGUCAGCGUGGGCACUUGGGGCAAGUUCCUUGGAAGAGGACAGCAUGGAGGGUGAUACUCCCGUUCAUCCCUGAGUUGCUCAUGCGUACGACCCGUUUUCUUUGAGUCGCGUUGUUUGGGAAUGCAGCGCAAAGUAGGUGGUAAAUUCCAUCUAAAGCUAAAUAUUGGUGCGAGACCGAUAGCGAACAAGUACCGUGAGGGAAAGAUGAAAAGAACUUUGAAAAGAGAGUUAAAGAGUACCUGAAACUGCUGAAAGGGAACCGAAUCGUUUCCAGUGUCUAUAAUCCGUGGCAUAUUUCAUUGGCGAGUGUGUGCGUGCGUGUGCUGUGGCAGUGGCUUUUUUGGCUGCGCUCGGUGUGUGUGCUGUGUGUGCUUGCUGGUGCCCUGUGCUGCGGUGGGACGUCAAGGUCAGUUCGUAUGCUGCGGGAAAUGGCUGCCGAGGAGGUAGGGCUUACGCUUGCGUUUGUCUGUUAUAUCUUGGUGGACGAGUCGUCGCGGUUGGGACUGAGGUGCCUACAACGUGCUUUUGAGUGGGUUUGUGUCUCCGUGUGCGCCGUGUGCGGAUAGCUUGCUAUGCGUGUGUGGUUGUGUGUGGAUUGAUGCGGGCUUUAACUUGUUGCCGUUCGGGACGUUGACGAAAUGGAGCGAUCCGACCCGUCUUGAAACACGGACCAAGGAGUCUAACAUGUGU